AUGAUGGCACACUUGCCCCAAAGAGAAGGUAUGUACAUCAUGCCCUCCGGCUGCCAAGAACCGAUGUUUGCUAAAGAUGACAUGACAGUCCACUGGACACAUCUCUCGUUGCUAAACCUCGUGCUGCAUGUUGUUGUCUAUACUGAGAUCUUAACUCACUCCAGAUUCCGGAACUCAUUCAUUGAAACUUCUUCCCCUUCCCCGUCCAAAUGAGUGUUUUGUUAGGAAACCUAAUACACUCAUACCAAUCUGGAAUUUGGAAUAUGCAGAAACAUUUAGGAUUUUGCAAGGGAGGAGACUGAGUUGCUGAUUCGAAUCCAGUCUCAAGUGAUUCGGUCAACAGAGAUUAGUCUUUUCUCAAGACAGAUUGGGGCGGAUGCUGCUGUGGAUUCCCAGUGGGGACCAAGCCUGAAAUCUUCACACUACGGACCUGGGAAUCUCCUGGAUCUUUUACCUCCUCUCAUCCCAUAUUGCUUCUGGCCAGAAGCAGGUGUGUCCCCCCACACUGAGAUGAAUUUCAAGGGGGAACAAUGGCAUCCUUCUCUCCUGAAAUUUCACCUGCUCUGUCGCUUGAACAGACAUAAGCAAUUGUGAGAUUGCUCAAUGCUGGGGGACAUAGUCUCUGCCUCAUUUUAAGGUGCCCAUGUUUUAGUGGAAGGUGUUUUGGUAUCUGUGACAUUUUUGAACACAGCAAUGGGUUUGAGUGGGCAAAGAUGCUCUGUAAGACAGGGUGGGGUCAUUGAAGCCAUUUUAAAAAGAGGAAACAAAAGAAAACCUCGGGCAUUUUAAUAUGUUAAAUACGUACCCAAUUAUUAAUUCUAAAGACUUCUACAAAUCAACCUAGAUGAAACUUUUUUCACCUUUUUCCUGCCUGUUUUCCCCUUCUCAGAAACAUUUAGACCUACCCUAUGGCAAUAACUAUUGGGAAGUCUCUGCCCUGUAUAUCAGGGUAGCACAAAUAAUUCAGCAUAAAGCAGCCCAGUUGCUGUAGCUUGGCAUUAGGAUAAGUAUAUCUUAAGAAAGUUCUUAUGCAGACUUGGCUUCAGGCAAUAAAACGUCAUAGACGUAUAACUGUAGCA
rnacentral:lncRNA from 13 species